UACAGAGGUCUCAAGCGUUGUUCGGAUUCAUUGGGCGUAAAGGGUGCGUAGGUGGUUCGGUAAGUCGGAUGUGAAAUCUCCAGGCUCAACCUGGAGGGGUCAUUCGAUACUGCCGUGACUAGAGUUCGGUAGGGGAGUGUGGAAUUCCUGGUGGAGCGGUGAAAUGCGCAGAUAUCAGGAGGAACACCCGUAGCGAAGGCGGCACUCUGGGCCGAUACUGACACUGAGGAGCGAAAGCGUGGGGAGCGAACAGG
rnacentral:rRNA from 1 species